GUUGUCGCUUCGACGGUACACUGCAUAUACUAAAACUGUAACGAUACAUAGGAGUUUAGCAUGGCUCCAGCGGUAGGAUGACACGCAAAAUCGUGCAGCGUUUCCCAUUUUC